rnacentral:rRNA from 1 species
GACGAACGCUGGCGGCGUGCUUAACACAUGCAAGUCGAACGGUGACGGAGAGCUUGCUCUCCUGAUCAGUGGCGAACGGGUGGGUAACACGUGGGCAACCUGCCCCAGACUUCGGGAUAACGCUUCGAAAGAGGUGCUAAUACCGAAUACGAACGCCGUGGGCAUCCACGGUGUUGGAAAGUUUUUCGGUCUGGGAUGGGCCCGCGGCCUAUCAGCUUGUUGGUGAGGUAAUGGCUCACCAAGGCGACGACGGGUAGCCGGCCUGAGAGGGCGACCGGCCACACUGGGACUGAGACACGGCCCAGACUCCUACGGGAGGCAGCAGUGGGGAAUAUUGCGCAAUGGGCGAAAGCCUGACGCAGCAACGCCGCGUGGGGGAUGAAGGCCUUCGGGUUGUAAACCGUCUUCUAGCAGGGAAGAAGCGAAAGUGACGGUACCUGCAGAAGAAGCACCGGCUAACUACGUAGCCAGCAGCCGCGGUAA